GAUGAACGAGGGAGGAGGGAAGAAUACAUGCAAGUCGAGCGAACGGACGAGAAGCUUGCUUCUCUGAUGUUAGCGGCGGACGGGUGAGUAACACGUGGAUAACCUACCUAUAAGACUGGGAUAACUUCGGGAAACCGGAGCUAAUACCGGAUGAUAUUUUGAACCGCAUGGUUCAAAAGUGAAAGACGGUCUUGCUGUCACUUAUAGAUGGAUCCGCGCUGCAUUAGCUAGUUGGUAAGGUAACGGCUUACAACGGCAACGAUGCAUAGCCGACCUGAGAGGGGGAUCGGCCACACUGGAACUGAGACACGGUCCAGACUCCUGCGGGAGGCAGCAGUAGGGAAUCGUACGCAAUGGGGGAAAGCAUGACGGAGCAACGCCGAGUGAGUGAUGAAGGUCUUCGGAUCGUAAAACUCUGUUAUUAGGGAAGAACAUAUGUGUAAGUAACUGUGCACAUAUUGACGGUACCUAAUCAGAAAGCAACGGCUAACUACGUG
rnacentral:rRNA from 1 species